CUUUGAUCAGGAGAAAUCUAACAGUUCUCUCCUCAGCUCUGUACCAUGUAUUUUUCAUUUUCUGUCCUAAGGCCCUAUAAUUCUUCAUUGUAUUCAUACAUGUGAAAGGACACUUUGUGUGGAAGGAGAGGAAACAUGAAGUGAAAAUAUACAUCAUCCUGGGAAUUGGCCAGUGGUCUGAUCAUCUGAGCAGGUGCUUGAAGGAAAAAACUGGAAGAUCAGAGAUAAGAAAGUCUGGAUAGAGAACUAACGCUGGGCGAAUAGAAGAUGGCAUAACAUGUGGAUAUUUCUACGUAACCAGAAAGAAGCUAUCCUGGAAGAAGCACUGAACAACCAAAUGGAAAGAAUGUUUUCUAUGGCUCUUCAGAAUGUGCUAUGGGAUUGAGCACCAGUCAUGGUGGGCAACGUGAUAAAGCAUCCUUGUGUUAUCUCUUUUUCUAUUCAGUCCCACUGUCCUUCACCCUCAACUUGCUGAGAUCACUUUGCAAAUAAACUAUAUGGA
rnacentral:lncRNA from 1 species